GGGGCGCGUUGGGCGGGAAGGCGGCCUGAGGGGAAGGGGCCGCCGCCACCGCCUCCCAGGGGGGCCCUCACACCGCCACCAACCCCCCGGCGUCUUGGUUUGGGGUUCACCUCCGAUGUGGUGGCGAUUUCAAACGUCUCGGUGGCAGCAGCGCCACGGGCAGGCUUCGGGAAAUCCUUCCUCGAGGGCUUGAGCGGUUCCUGGGUCCGGAGGAAGAGGUCUGUGUUUGAGGCAACCAUAAUUAGUCCGAGGGAUGAAAGGAGGGCGAACAAAUUGCAGAUGUUAUCCUCCCAUUGAGUUUGCUGUAAGUGUAACAAGAUGUCCUGAGGAGUGUAUUUUAAAGGGCAAGGUGGUAACACAGAUGGAUUUAAGACUCUCUUAAAGGCUUCCUCCAGGCUGUCUUGAACUGUGUUGCCAAAGGCCACUCACCAUGUCAAAGUUUUAAUUUUCAUGAUGGAUUUUUUCUCAACUAUGGCUGAAACACCACUUUUCAGCGAAGUAUGGCGUGAUGAAGUACAGUACGGUAUCUACCCACGCAAGGGAGGAAAAGAGCUUCUGGAGCGUGAAGUCUUGACCCUCAUCAAAGUCUGGCAAAACUUCCUAUGACUUCAACAAAGCCAGGAUGUCCCUUCUAUGAUUACCAUACGUAACCACAGAUGUAUACGGUCACCUGAAGAUUGCUUCCCCUGGCAUAUGCUGUCAAAAGAAGUGAUCCUGGGGAGAAAAGUCAUCCCAAGAGCGCAGCGAGUUUCUUCCCAGCCUCUGCAGCCCCCCUGAGUGUGUCCCCACGAUGAGCUGAAGGCAGGUAUAUAUUCUUUACCUACACCACCUCCUCUGCUUAGCUCUCCUGCCAUGGGCUCAGCGGCUUCCCUGUAACCCAAACCUUCAACCUCAUAGUCUUUCUGGAUUAAAAUAGCCUUUCAUUUUUUUCACCUGUGGAACUAAGUCUACCCCCCUGAAUACAAACAGAGCAUUUCUUGGUUUAUGCGUGAGGGUAUGCAUUGCCACACACAACAGAGCAUCACUGCCCAAUUUAAGCACUAUUAGGAAAUACUAAUAUAGAUUAUAUUAAUAUAUAUGUGCCUAUAUUUGUACAUACACAGACAGACACACACAAAGUGAUUAACCUGUGGGCAUAUUUUCUGAUCACUUGCUGUCUCAUCUAUUACAUUUAAUAAAAUUGAAUAAUAGUAUAAAA